rnacentral:rRNA from 1 species
AGUGAACGCUGGCGGUAGGCCUAACACAUGCAAGUCGAACGGCAGCACAGUAAGAGCUUGCUCUUACGGGUGGCGAGUGGCGGACGGGUGAGGAAUACAUCGGAAUCUACUUUUUCGUGGGGGAUAACGUGGGGAAACUUACGCUAAUACCUCAUACGACCUACGGGUGAAAUCAGGGGAUCUUCGGACCUUGCGCGUCUCAAUUAGCCGAUGUCGGAUUAGCUAGUCGGGGGGGUAAAGGCCCACCAAGGCAACGAUCCGUAGCUGGUCUGAGAGGAUGAUCAGCCACACUGGAACUGAGACACGGUCCAGACUCCUACGGGAGGCAGCAGUGGGGAAUAUUGGACAAUGGGCGCAAGCCUGACCCAGCCAUGCCGCGUGGGUGAAGAAGGCCUUCGGGUUGUAAAGCCCUGUUAUUAGGAAAGAAAAGCAGCAGGUUAAUACCCCGCUGUUCUGACGGUACCCAAAGAAUAAGCACCGGCUAACUUCGUG